UGUACUAAUUUUCUACACAUCCGCUUGUCACGUCUGUCAGCCAUGUACUAAUCGUAUUCGCGGCAAAAUACGCUAGUUCAUCACGAAACCUUUAGAUGUCUCAUCACGUUACAGCGAUUGGUUCGUGUGUGGAUGGAACGACGAUAUUGUUUACAUUACCGACGAAAGAAAAAGAGAAAACCAACAGAGAAACGAUUACCCACGUUUUUGUUCAAAAUCGAUUUACUCACCAAGAGUUUUAACACGUGGGCUAUUCGAUCCCACGCGAUCGUUUAUAUAACACAAAAGAGAUGCACGUAAACAUCUAUACGAUGGAAAACGAAAUACGGCGCCAUUUCAAUCCUGUAUUGCAUUUUGUUUAUCAGACCAGCACGUCAGCCAUCUUAAUAAACGGACUUCGAGCGCUUGCGCUCUUUCCCACGUCGAAUGAGAACGCGUAACUGGCGUAAAUAGAAACCGACAGAAACUAACGGUGGCGCCACGAAUGACGGAAACUACCGUUCUGCGUAUUGGUAAAGUAGGAACUCUAGAAGUACGUAUUAGUGUAUGUGUAUAUGUUUCUGUUUAUGUUUAUGUUUGUAUUCUGAGAUAUACCCAGUAAUGAAAAUUUAUAUCAAUAAAAAUUAUAUUGGAAAAGAACACAUGAAUAUAUAGUCGUAUAAAUUCGUAAUAAUUGAUUUCAAAUGAUAUUCUUUAUCAUUCUAGUCGUUAUAUUAUCGACACUCAGUAAGUGAAUAAAGAGUUAUUUAUGCGUAAGAAAUAAAAAUUAUCAUUAAAUUUCUUUUCUAUUGUACAACAUACUUUUUAACAGAGGAAACAAACGAUAGUACUAUUAAGUGUAUAGAAUAUUUUAAGAUAAUGUGGGAACUGCAUUUCAUAUACCAUCUUACGAAAUAUGAAAUAUAUGUAUGCAUACAGUCAGAAAAGUUGAUAUAUAUAUAUAAUUUUUACGGUA